GACGAACGCUGGCGGCGUGCUUAACACAUGCAAGUCGAGCGGUAAGGCCCUUUCGGGGGUACACGAGCGGCGAACGGGUGAGUAACACGUGGGUGACCUGCCCUUAGCUCUGGGAUAAGCCUGGGAAACGUGGGUCUAAUACCGGAUAUGACCUCAUGACUCAUGUUGUGGGGUGGAAAGCCUUGUGCGGCUAGGGAUGGGCCCGCGGCCUAUCAGCUUGUUGGUGGGGUAAUUGCCUACCAAGGGCGACGACGGGUAGCCGGCCUGAGAGGGCGACCGGCCACACUGGGACUGAGACACGGCCCAGACUCCUACGGGAGGCAGCAGUGGGGAAUCUUGCGCAAUGGGCGAAAAGCCUGACGCAGCGACGCCGCGUGAGGGAUGACGGCCUG
rnacentral:rRNA from 1 species